AUGACUUUCAUCACCAUCUUCAUCUGGACACUGACCUGCUGCUGUUUUAAAGAGUCCAGAGGUCAGUUUACUGUGACUCAGACUCCUGCAGUGAAAUCUGCUCUUCCAGGAGACACAGUCACUAUCAACUGUAAAACUAGCUCUGCAGUGUAUGAUGGUAAUCGUCUGAACUGGUACCAACACAAACCUGGACAGGCUCCUAAACUCCUGAUUAGAAAUGCUGGCACCCGUUGGUCUGGAGUUCCAGAUCGUUUCAGUGGCAGUGGAUCUGGAACUGACUUCACUAUGACCAUCAGUAACAUCCAGACUGAAGAUGCAGGAGAUUAUUACUGUCAGAGUGCACAUGAUAUCGGUGACUAUGAGACUUUUAUCUGGAAGUUCACACAGUGA